CUGCCUGACGCCAGAAGCCUUGAAAACCCUGGAAGCCCUCCCCUGGGCUGGGAACGGGCGUUUGUGCCGCCGGUUCACGGCUGGUUAUCCCAAAAACAUCAGCGAUGAGCUACAGCCUUCCCGUGUCUGAACGGGGCCUGCCGGCACGCUGGAGAGUGUUCGUCAGAGAUUGCAGUGAUUGGACAUGGGGCAACGGGUUCAAACUUAAACAGGGAAGUUCAGGUAUCUUUGAAGAAACAACACACAUCUGGGAGAAUCAUUUAAGAAGUUCAAAGUAGAAACUGGAAACAUGAGGUUCAAAAUCAAAUGAAUGAAAAUAAUGUCGAAAAUGAAAAACAAAAGACUGAAGACUACGUCUAUUAUUGCCAUCACAGCAAGCUGCAUAUGCACAAAUGACCAGUUGAAGUUACUUCAAAAUAUGAUUCAUCUAACAAAAAAUAAUUUUCAUCUAACAAAAGAGCCACUGAGAUAAACGUAACAUAUGACUUCAAUAUACAUUGCCUAACACGCUUUGGGAAACUUUUCCAAUUAAACCAUCAAACAUAUGACUGAAAA